CGUUUACGCGGCCUGUUGUAGAACCGAGGAGGCCUGGUCAAUUCCACCAUUCAUUUGUGCUUCAAAAAUUCGUCACAGCUCUGAAUUCUCAAAAUUUGAAACUGAUCCAGACUUGGACAUUCAAGCCACCAGAACAAUUUUGACAGUCGAACCAGAGCACCACUCGUUUUAUGCAGCAUCGUGACUAACGAAGGGAACGGAUCAAUCAUCGGACCCAAGCUUGGACCCUGAAAUUAUUGAAGAGGAAAGAGUCCGACAGGCCAGUCUCUUUUGUGGUUCGACACUUGGGACGGAAGCAGAAGAGCCGCAGCGAGAUCCAACAAGAGAGAACAAACUGUAAUUAUCAAGCCUAAGGGAAAUCAACGUGCUGAUGUGACAAAUCAAGAAUAUUCUCUCGAAGAUAUAUUCUGCUGCUUUUUCGGUCAAAAAUGUUCGAUGCAUGGAGAACGGUAACGUUUCCGUACGGAAACAAGUGAUCAUGGAUAAAAAUCAUUGGUCUGUCCGAAGAUUUAAGUGCUGGUGAAAUUGACCUCAAAUUGAAAAAGCAAAACAAUCUUCCGCUCUCCUCGGACAUUUGAAACUUUGAUCCUUUGAUCAAGCUGCAACGCGUCUACCUGUAGAGUGGCUGAAGAAAUCAAUGUCUACCGCUACUUCAAAUGUUCCAUGUCUGGCCAUACAGCAUGUUCCUGAAACAACUCUACUUGCUGUCUCAUAUGUGCUGGUGAUCAUGAAGCAAAAGAAUGUGAAUCUACUUUCAUAAAGUGUGUUAACUGUGAACUGGUGAACAAACUGCGUAACCUUGCAACUGAUAUAUUCCUGGAUCGAACUACAUCGACUCUGGCACGCAACGAUGUUGGUACUAUGAAAGCCACCGAUCCUCCCACCACAGUCCUGCCACUGUAGCCGUCGUUCAACAAUCUUCCCGACCCUGUGUGUGGGAUUGGAUAAGUGGUCUUCCAACCUGAAACUGCAGUUCCAGCGCUACGCCGAUUGAUCAACUAUAUUCUGUCAGCUUGACACUGGAACACAAUGAUGUUGGCACCAUGGAAGCCCCUAAUCUCUCUGCCACAGUCGGGCUAUUCUACUUCCUGCUUUGUCAGAUGCUGAGAUGCCUGACCUGUUAUAUGGAAGGAUUAUGCACGAGGAGCGAUUCGAAUCCCCCCAGUUUUGAAGACAUUAAGAACUGAUGUUCCAUUGCCCUGGUCAGAUGGCUGGUGGUGAAGGAAAACAAUAAGUACAUGGAAACCAGAAAAAACUAUCUAUUUUAAUACUCUCGCCCGCACGUCCCAUUGCACUACAAAUAAAAUUCGC